rnacentral:tRNA from 1 species
GUUGGUUUAGAGCAUCUGCCUUACAAGCAGAGGGUCGGCGGUUCGACCCCGUCAACUCCCA